rnacentral:lncRNA from 1 species
CAUGCACUCAGGGGCAGAGGUACCGGGUUCAACGGUCUCGUCAUUUUUCCUGCAUCUGACAGGGUAGAGCAUCGGUGUGCUGAUGGGGCCACCAUAGCCAAGUACCACGGGCAGAGUGGCUUCACCAGAAAACUCGUCUCCCAGUCCUGGUGACUGAAGGCCUGAAACUGAGGUGUGGGCAGGUGGGUCCCCCGAGGCUCUCCUCGGCUGGCUGCUGCUGUGUCUCCACAUGGCCUUUCUGCUGUGCACCACGCUCCUGGUGUCCCCACGUGCCCCGAUCCCCUCUUCUAUCAGGACACCAGUGAGCUCAUUUCAACUUAAUUAGCUCUUUAAAGAUCCUGCCCCCAGAUGAGGUCACAAUCUGAGGUCCCAGGGAUUAGGACCCUGACAUCAGGGUUUACGAAGGACACAGUUCAACCAGCCACAGAUGGGUUGGGGACAAGUCAAAGUAGGAUCCCAAACUUUCUUAGGGGCCAAGUUCUCCUCUGAGCCCCCAAACUUCUCCUUCACCCUCUGCUUCCGGUGAAAUGUUCACUCACCCAGAGCAAAACUGUCCCCAAGCGAGAGCUGAGGAGGCUGUGGCUUCUCCCAGCUGCAUCAACAGGAGCGUGUGACAGGAGCACAGGGAGAACAGUGCCUGGGCCCAGCGCCGCUCAGACGCUGGCCGUGCUCUGGCUCCCAGCAAAGGGCACCACGGCGCUCAGUCUCCUUCUCACGGGGCAGGAGAGAGACUGGACAUCCCCAAAGCCACCCCUCACCCGACAGGCCUUGACACCUGCC